rnacentral:rRNA from 1 species
UAGGGAAUCUUCCGCAAUGGACGCAAGUCUGACGGAGCAACGCCGCGUGAGUGAAGAAGGUUUUCGGAUCGUAAAACUCUGUUGUAAGAGAAGAACAAAUUGUAGAGUAACUGCUACAGUCUUGACGGUAUCUUACCAGAAAGCCACGGCUAACUACGUGCCAGCAGCCGCGGUAAUACGUAGGUGGCAAGCGUUGUCCGGAUUUAUUGGGCGUAAAGGGGGCGCAGGCUGCUUCUUAAGUCUGAUGUGAGAGCCCACGGCUUAACCGUGGAAGUGCAUUGGAAACUGGGAAGCUUGAGUACAGAAGAGGAAAGUGGAACUCCAUGUGUAGCGGUGGAAUGCGUAGAUAUAUGGAAGAACACCAGUGGCGAAAGCGACUUUCUGGUCUGUCACUGACGCUGAGGCCCGAAAGCGUGGGUAGCAAACAGG